GUGAGUUCCAGGACAGCCAGGGCUACACAGAGAAAGAAACCCUGUCUCGGAAAAAAAAAUUUUUUUAAUAGGCUAGGUUCUUCUUUCAUAGGCAUUUUUUAGGUUUCAUUGCUUUCACAUUUUUAGCAAGUUCAGAAAGAGUAUUUGUCUACAAAAGCAAAAAUAAUUGCUACUGCACUGCAGAGAAAGAAGUGAAAAAGAUGACCUUUAAAAAGAUAGCAGAAUACGGCAAAAUGUGUGCGAUCAUCUUAAUAAUAACUCUUUUGAUCUUACAUUUAUAUAUAAAUGAAUUAUUUAAAUAGCAGAGCAGUGCCUAGGAUAAAUAAAAUAUCCAUGAAAACACAUAUUACCACCAAACAAAUGACUUCAAGCAAAAUCAAAUUGAAGGAGAAAAUUGUGUUUCCUCCAACAAAACGCUGGUUUUGCCCUAAGGCAUUUGUGUUGAGGAAAAAGACCAUGUAUAACAUAGACACAAAUCAUACACAUCUUCCCCCAAACAGCAGGUUUUAUUGGAUUGCACACAUGUGCGAGCUACUUGAGGCCUCCAGGAAAGAAGCUCAGCAAUAAAAUACAUCACGACUAUUGCCACCGAGCUAGGCAGGAUGGGAGCAGACACAUCAGAGAGCCUCGUGAUGAAGUAGAGCAUUAAGAAGCAAAUCAAAGUCUCUGAUCAAAGCCUAAUUUAGCCUGUCAUAAGUGAUCCUGCCGUGGAAAGAAGCCUCACACACAAAGAUCAAAGAUUAGGAUCCGCACAUAUAACACAGCACCCCUGCCCUAUGGGGAGGGGGGAAAGGUAGACAGAAGAAGGAAAAAGAAGUCAUACAUCAAAGCUCUCUAGGACCACAGUGUGAUAUAAUCUCCUCCUUUUAAGGAUAGCACACAGAAUUAGAAAAGUGGAAAUGAUUUUUACAAUGUGCUUGAGUCCCCCAAUUUGAAACUGUGAGAAGCUGGUGCGGUUGGCUCAGCUAUCUUGUUUGCAAACACAUAUUAGGCAGUGCUUGUCACCGUGGUAAUGUUUCUGUAUUUGUAGUCCUCGCUUGCAUAUAUUAAGAAUCUUCUCACAACUGCAAACAACAGGUACAUAAUUUUCUACUUGAGAGACUAUUAAUUGACUUUCUAUUGAGUCAGUAACUCUAGCCCAUGCUAAUAUGAUAAUUGUUCUUUUUUUUUUUUAAAGCAAGCUAUUUCAAACUUUGUACAAUUCUUUUGUUCUUUUCUGUAUUAACUGAGUACAGCCCACUCUUGAUCUGUGUCUAUAUACUUCAUGGGAGUAGAGACAUGUUUCCCUGUACUCUGAUUAUGUGUGCCUGUGUUUGGAAACCAAAGUAACAGUCUGAGGAUUACUUGGGGAAAGGGCAUGUCCACUUCAUUUGAUACUAAUAGUUUAACUUUCAAAUGCACAGAGAAUGCUAUAGAAAUAUAUGAAAAUCCAAAAACCAGUUAGACACCAGCUGUAUACACCAUUAAAAGAAAACAUUAUAUAUUGAGCAGAAGCAAUAGAACCAAAGACUGUGGCCUUGCAUGUAGAGGACUCUGUGGGAAGGUAGACAUGUGUAAGGUCCUAGGGGAAGGAUAAUUUUAAAGGUUUGUCUGUGCAGACUCACCUGUAUGCCUGCCUUCUGCCUGUGGGAAUAACAAUUUUCCUGGUGCUGGAGAAAGGAUGGCAGCCCACCUGCAGGACAUUAUAGAGAGCUUUGAGCCAGAUGCAAGGAGGCCAAAGAGCUCUUCCUGGGUUUACUAUUUUACAACUUCUAUCUACUUAAAAAAAUAAUUCUUUUUAAUAGAUACAUUGCUUUCUUUCUUCCUUUAUUUAUUUAUUUAUUUAUUUAUUUAUUUAUUUAUUUAUUUAUUUUUGCUGUGUGUCCAUGUCUCUCUGUGGGGGCAUAUGCACCUGAGUGUUUGUAUCCAGGAGGAAUCACCUGGAGCUGGAGUGACAGGAACUUAUGAGCUGUCUGACAAAGGGGCUGUGAGAAGGAACCCAGGUCCCAUGUAAGUGCAGAAAGCCAAUUUAACUCCUUAGCCACAUCUGCAAUUCCUCAAAAUAAAUGUAUUUUGGGGUGACAUAUUCUGGCCUUUUCCAAUUCCUAUACAUUGUGCCUUAAAUAUGCCAUGCCAAUUUGAACCGGUACUAUAAAAGUAGUGAGAAUUUUAUCAGAUUUCUUUCUUUUCAUCUGAAAAUAGAACACUUGAUUGCUUUUAUGAAUUAAACAUAUUAAGUAUAUUUACUUAUUCAUUCAAUAAUUCAAUAAUUAUCUUUACUAUUCAGUGCUUCUCAGCCAAGGAUACAGUUCUCAGGAAAAUUAGACACAGUUCUUACUUUUAGAAAGAUUUGAUCUAUUUGGGCAGGUAUACAUUACUUGUCACGCAGACAAGUAUAAAGUUGAUGCUCACUGAGUUCUGAAAGUGGGAGUUAUAUGGGAAUUUGACCCACUGUGCUCAGAAAAUGACUUCUCUGAGGCAUUGACACCUGACUGG
rnacentral:lncRNA from 1 species